rnacentral:rRNA from 1 species
UGAGUGGCGGACGGGUGAGUAACGCGUGGGCAACCUGCCCUGUACAGGGGGACAACACUUAGAAAUAGGUGCUAAUACCGCAUAACGGGGGGAGCCGCAUGGCACCCCCUGAAAACUCCGGUGGUACAGGAUGGGCCCGCGUCUGAUUAGCUGGUUGGCAGGGUAACGGCCUACCAAGGCGACGAUCAGUAGCCGGCCUGAGAGGGUGAACGGCCACAUUGGGACUGAGACACGGCCCAGACUCCUACGGAAGGCAGCAG